AUUGAGCCUGUCUAGGGCUGCAGGUGCUUAUGGGAGCCUAUGGGGACAUCACAUCACAACAGUGACAUCACAGGCCAGUUCUCUAGAGGGAAGGGAGGAGCUAAACUCCAUUUCUGUCACCCCAGGAGCCCAGCACUCUGAGCAGGGACAUGCCUGCCCCUGUCCUGCCUGACUCUGCCUGGGGAACCAGGAUCCUCUGCUGUGCUGCCCUUUGUCUCCUGGGAGCAGGUUCAGUGGAUGUUGGAGUCAUCCAGACCCCAAGAUACCUAAUCACAGAAAAGAGGGGACAGGCCACUCUGAAAUGCUAUCCCUUUCCUGGACAUGACACUGUGUACUGGUACCAGCAGACUCCAGGCCAGGGUCCCCAGUUCCUCAUUUCUUAUUAUGCAAAGAUGGAGUAUGGUAAAGGCAACAUCCCUGACCGAUUCUCAGCUGAGCAGUUCAGUGACCACCACUCUGAAAUGAACAUGAGCUCCUUGGAGCUGGGGGACUCAGCCUUGUACCUCUGUGCCAGCAGUAUAGACACAGCCCUGCAGAGCCACUGGUUUUCUGUACCCAAACCUUCCUGUUCCAGCUGA